UCCCCUUUUCUAACCUGGAACACGGGCUUUCCGCCCAGAGACUGGUGACAAGCUACCAUGGGCUCGGAUUGUGAUUGGGUCGUUGAGAAACUAAAACAAAACAGCGGGAGGGAAAGGAGGGAAAACCCCAGUGCUUUCUGCCAUCAAGUGGAUAACUUGCCAGAAACCCCUCGCUUCGUGACCUUGGGUGUGUUUGCUGAGCGCCGCCACCUGCCGGAGGGAGUUCACGUUAAAAAUUAAGAUUGAGUUGUCUUAAAAGUGGUUCCCAGAAGCCGCACAAACCCACCCACCCACGUGGGAACACAGCAGUUGUGGAGGUGGAGACAGGACUGGAUCCAGAAUCAGAGUUCAAAUAUACCAGAAAAUCUGGGCUCUAAAUUCUGUGUAGUCAGAGAGUGACUGACCAACAGCUGUGAGACACUGGGGACGUUACCAUUCACUGUAAACUUUGGCACAGAUCACUUAUUUCUUUGAAGACUGGAUCCAGCAAGCACAAUGAAUACAAGAAUGUGCUGUGGUAGCAGGGUGAAUUCCAGACAAACCCGAGAAUUCCGUACAGCUGGGGAAGGAGGCCCAACGCCUGCGGUGGUCUUAGAAACAGAACUGAUAGAUCUCAGAGAAAGUGAUGAAAUAGUUGACCUCACUUGUGAAUCCCUAGAACCUGCAGUGAUUGACCUAACUUGCCAUGACUCUGUUGUGAUUACUGAAGAAACGAGGAGGCCAAGAGGAAACAAAAGGUCACUCCAAAGGCAAACUGGCAGCUGUGUGGUGAGCAGUAAUGAGGAGUUGAUGAGAAACAGAGAUGUGUAUGUGACCAACGGGUCCUCCCAUAAUGCCCUGGAAGAAGCAGCUUUAAGAUGCACACUACCUGGUUAUAUCCGGUGUCGAAUUUGUAUGGAUGGGUACUUGGAGAUUGAACUGAGUAGGCGACAUAUUUACUCUACAGAAUGUGGCCACAUCUUCUGUAGUCACUGCCUCUGCACUUCCCUUAAAUAUAGUAAAAAUUGCCCAGUU